rnacentral:rRNA from 1 species
UGGGGAAUAUUGCACAAUGGGCGCAAGCCUGAUGCAGCCAUGCCGCGUGUAUGAAGAAGGCCUUCGGGUUGUAAAGUACUUUCAGCGAGGAGGAAGGCGUUGUGGUUAAUAACCGCAACGAUUGACGUUACUCGCAGAAGAAGCACCGGCUAACUCCGUGCCAGCAGCCGCGGUAAUACGGAGGGUGCAAGCGUUAAUCGGAAUUACUGGGCGUAAAGCGCACGCAGGCGGUCUGUCAAGUCGGAUGUGAAAUCCCCGGGCUCAACCUGGGAACUGCAUCCGAAACUGGCAGGCUAGAGUCUUGUAGAGGGGGGUAGAAUUCCUGGUGUAGCGGUGAAAUGCGUAGAGAUCUGGAGGAAUACCGGUGGCGAAGGCGGCCCCCUGGACAAAGACUGACGCUCAGGUGCGAAAGCGUGGGGAGCAAACA